rnacentral:rRNA from 1 species
AGUGAACGCUGGCGGUAGGCCUAACACAUGCAAGUCGAACGGCAGCACAGGAGAGCCUGCUCUCUGGGUGGCGAGUGGCGGACGGGUGAGGAAUACAUCGGAAUCUACUUUUUCGUGGGGGAUAACGUAGGGAAACUUACGCUAAUACCGCAUACGACCUACGGGUGAAAGCAGGGGAUCUUCGGACCUUGCGCGGUUGAAUGAGCCGAUGUCGGAUUAGCUAGUUGGCGGGGUAAAGGCCCACCAAGGCGACGAUCCGUAGCUGGUCUGAGAGGAUGAUCAGCCACACUGGAACUGAGACACGGUCCAGACUCCUACGGGAGGCAGCAGUGGGGAAUAUUGGACAAUGGGCGCAAGCCUGAUCCAGCCAUACCGCGUGGGUGAAGAAGGCCUUCGGGUUGUAAAGCCCUUUUGUUGGGAAAGAAAUCCAGCUGGUUAAUACCCGGUUGGGAUGACGGUACCCAAAGAAUAAGCACCGGCUAACUUCGUGCCAGCAGCCGCCGUAA